rnacentral:rRNA from 1 species
AUGAACGCUGGCGGCGUGCUUAACACAUGCAAGUCGAACGGAAAGGCCAGUGCUUGCACUGGUGCUCGAGUGGCGAACGGGUGAGUAACACGUGGGUGAUCUGCCCUGCACUUUGGGAUAAGCCUGGGAAACUGGGUCUAAUACCAGAUAGGACCAUGCUUUGGAUGGUGUGGUGGAAAGUUUUUUCGGUGUGGGAUGAGCUUGCGGCCUAUCAGCUUGUUGGUGGGGUAAUGGCCUACCAAGGCGUCGACGGGUAGCCUGCCUGAGAGGGUGUACGGCCACAUUGGGACUGAGAUACGGCCCAGACUCCUACGGGAGGCAGCAGUGGGGAAUAUUGCACAAUGGGCGCAAGCCUGAUGCAGCGACGCCGCGUGGGGGAUGACGGCCUUCGGGUUGUAAACUCCUUUCGCAACUGACGAAGCUUUUUGUGACGGUAGGUUGAGAAGAAGCACCGGCUAACUACGUG